CAGCGCACUCUCUCUCUCUACCCCCAAAACCCCAUUGCAUCCCGGCUUUCAAAUCCGCCACCUUUUCCCCAUCCCGGCUUUCAAAUACGCCCGAGAAGAGGAGAGAGAGGAGGAGGAACCCAAGGAGCAGGCCGGCCUCAAAAGAACCACUCACCUUCCCGCAGCCACUCUCUCUCUCUCUCUCAUCACGCACAUCACACACGCUCUCACCGGUAGCUAGCCGGCGGUUGGAGCGGAGCCCCUGCUGCUGCGGCCGCUUAAAGGAGGAGGAGGAGGGCGGGAGCAAUGUCGGAGCAGCCGUUGCCGCAGCCGCGGAGCAGCAUGAGGGAGGCGCUGCAGAAGGAGGACAAGGAGAAGGCGUCGGCGGCGGCGCCCAAGGAGAAGGCGGCCGUGGCCCCGCCGCACGUCGCCGCGCCCCCCAUGGCCAAGAACGGCGGCGGGAACGGGGGCAAGGGCGGCCACGGGGCCCAGCCGCCGGCGGCGGAGGAGACGACGCGGGAGAUCCAGGUGGUGCGCGAGGCGUACCGGCAGCCGGCGGCCCCGGCGUACGUGAUGCCCGAGGAGCCCCCCGCCAUGGUGGAGCUGGUGGGGUGGUACCUCUACGGCUUCUGCUCCUUCUUCAUCACCCACCUGCUGCUGCCGGUGCUGUUCCCGGCCAUCGUCACCCAGGUCGCCUUCCCCUCCUCCGACUUCACCCCCGAGGCCAAGUACACCGUCAAGGGCGCCUCCUGCUCCGUCCACGAGAUGUCCAUGUACCAGAGGCUGACCAAGUACACCAUUGCCAUCUCUAGCUCCCACAUGUCGCCCCUGGGCUGGAGCGCCCUCUCGUGGGCGAUCGGCAUCCUCCUCGUGGCGCCGCUCCUCACCCAGGUCGCGCACCACCUCGACCGGGGCCAGUACCAGUCGCUCAUCCUCAUCGCCGCGACGUCGUUCGGCUCCUUCUUCUGCCUGCUCACCGGCUUCUUCAAGACGGUCUGGGUGUUCCUGUUCUACAUCCUCUUCAUCGCCGCGUCCAUCAUCAUCGCCGAGGCGGUGCACACCCGCAACCUCGGGCUGAUGAUCCGCGGCCUUGCCGCCCAUGACUCGGGCAAGCACCUUGUCCUGCGCCGCCGCGCUGCUGCCAGCCAGCUCAGCCUCUACUGCACCGCCAUCGGCGGCAUCGGGGCGGCGCUCAUGGCUGCGUUCAUGUACCACAUGCUGAGGCGCACUGACCAGCUCACCGGCCUCUGGGUCGUCUCCAUCUUCAGUGGCCUCAUCUGGUUCAUCGGCAUCUGCCAUGGCCUCUUCACGAACAGGCCCAGCAGCUCGUCGCCCACCACCGCAUUCGAGCCAAACUUCUUCAGCAAGCUCAAGUACGCAUGACCAUUGGCCGCUACCCACAGGCCAUGGCUGUGUUCCUGUCAUCCUUCGCCACAAUGUGCAUCUUCACCAGUGGCACGCUCUACGCCAUUGGCGGCGUCUGCAUCAAGCCGGUCCUGGUGCUCGCGCUGUGGAUCCUCUACUUCCUGUUCCCGCUCAUCUCGCUGCCGCUGCUCCACCCGAUCCAGAUCAUCAUCCGCGCCGACGCCGUCCGCAUGCAGCUGCUGGGGUUCAUCAUCGCCCUCUUCGUCUCCGGCGCCGGGUUCUACUUCAAGAGCCACAGGUGGAGGGCCGCCCACAUCAUCAUCAUCGCCCUCGUCCAGAGCACCGCCAACGGCAUCCUCUACUCCUUCGGCCGCAUCCUGCUGCUCGACGCCUCGCCGCCGGGCAAGGAGGGCGCGUUCGCCAUCUGGUACGCGUACGUCCGCUGCAUGGGCGCCAUGAUCGGCUUCGCCGUCGCGUCUGCCGGCCCUGGGCGCGCGGGAGGAUCCUUCGCUGCUGCGUUCCUGGGCAGCUUCCUCGGCAUCAUCGUGCUCAUCUUCGGCAAUGUCAGCAACGUCGGGGCGCUCAAGGCCGCCGGGCAUCUCAAGGGCAUGGAGGACGAGAAGAGGAUCGGCGAGAAGGGCGAGGGCAUGAGCGCCGUCGCCGACUCCGGCGAGUCCAGGGGGAGGGUAUGAUUGAUACAUUUCAUGGUUGGUUGGUUGGAAAGAUUUCUUGCUACCAUUGUUGUGGUGCGUUGUGCUUGUGAGAGGGUAUGAUUUGUUCUUCUAUUUUUCUUGUUUUUUCUUUCUUGUUCAUGUCUCAGUGACACUGUUAAUCCGGUGCUCUGCCCCUUUGAUGCAUGAUGAUUAUGAUGAUGUUGACAUAGUGGUAGAGGGAGUGUGCUAGCAGCUCUGUUAAUGUGUUGUUAAAUUCUUUUGCUUGGAAGAAAGACAAUUGUAACUGAUGGUGAUAUGGUUCCUUGUUCAUCGCCCUGUCCUCCCUGAAAAAUCUCUAGCAGUCAUGCUUCGUGA